rnacentral:rRNA from 1 species
UAGGGCGGACGGGUGAGUAACGCGUGGGUAACCUGCCCUGUACACACGGAUAACAUACCGAAAGGUAUGCUAAUACGGGAUAAUAUAUAAGAGUCGCAUGACUUUUAUAUCAAAGAUUUUUCGGUACAGGAUGGACCCGCGUCUGAUUAGCUUGUUGGCGGGGUAACGGCCCACCAAGGCGACGAUCAGUAGCCGACCUGAGAGGGUGAUC